CUUUCCCUCUGGCGGCAUGCUUUACACAUGCAAGUCGAACGGCAGCGCGGGCUUCGGCCUGGCGGAGAGUCGCGCACGGGUGUGUAAUGUAUCGGAACGUGCCCAGUAGUGGGGGAUAGCCCGGCGAACGCCGGAUUAAUACCGCAUACGCCCUGAGGGUGAAAGCGGGGGACGGAAAGGCCUCGCGCUAUUGGAGCGGCCGAUGUCGGAUUAGCUAGUUGGUGGGGUAAAGGCUUACCAAGGCGACGAGCCGUAGCUGGUCUGAGAGGACGACCAGCCACACGGGGACUGAGACACGCCCCAGACGCCGACGGGAGGCAGCAGUGGGAAAUUUGGGACAAGGGGGGAAACCCGGAUCCAGCCAGGCCGCGGGCGGGAAGAAGGCCUUCGGGUUGUAAACCGCUUUUGUUCGGGAAGAAAUCCUCUGGGCUAAUACCCCGGGUGGAGGACGGAACCGGAAGAAUAGGCACCGGCAAACUAGUG
rnacentral:rRNA from 1 species